AUUAAGUCUGCAGCACUCUCGUCCUGACAGAUUAAUUUCCCUGUGUGAGAGACGCUGUAUCGAAUUUUAUUCUACGUGAAAGGCAUACCCACAUAGCACAAGGGGACAUUCACAAUGGUGAGAAUGGCUGUGGGUAAGAAGACUGGCUGGAACCACACUGAAGGCUCAUCGAUGACAUAGAGAGAUCUUGGAUGGCUGCAGAGGCGUUUCGCAAGACAACAGCCGCAUGCAAUGAGCUAGAGAAGGAAAAAGAGCAGAAAGCAGAGUCAGAGGAGCCCAGGGAACCAUCCAUCAGAAAGCCAUCCUGCCUUGAAGUGAAAAGUGCAAUUCCCUAAGAUUCUGACAACAUCGAUAACUGAACAUUCUGCUAAUCUUAGGAAAUAAUAAAUAUGAAGAAGCCUUGCUUAUUCAAUUGACUAAGGCCAACUGGGAGGGAAACUUCAGGUCAAGAAGGAACAAAAACCAGGAGCUUUUUCCUUUCAACCAACACCAUUACUAGAAGAUAUUUGUGAAGACCCAGUGGCUCUCAAAAAUAACUGUUACGAUUUAGCGUUGGCAACUUGCUCACAAGGCUGUUCUCUAAGCUUGCAAAACCAGCAAUCAAUGAAGGUAACUUCCUGCAGUAAUAAAGUCUAUUUGAUCACAGAAUCCAUUCAUUCAAUGAAUACUUCCUGAAUUCCAGCUGUGUGUGCAAAGUGCCACACCUUCUGUGAGAAAGAGAGAACAGGGGAUAAAGAGAAAGAGAGAAACACGGAUGUGAGAGAGAACAUUAAUCUACUGAGUCUCAUACAUGCUCUGACUGGGGAUUGAACCUGAACCGAGGGAGGGAAAAGGAGGGAGAGAAACAUCGAUGUGUGAGAGAAACAUCAGUUGGCUGCCUCUUGCACACACCCCAACUAUGGACCAGGCCUGCAAGCCAGACAAGUGUCCUGACUGGGAAUCAAACAAGCAACCUUUUGCUUUGUGGUACAACCCCCAACCAACUGACCCAUACCAGCCAGGGACAUAAAGAAGCUCCUCAUAUUUGUCCUGGUGGAGUUUACAAAAUAAUAUCUGUACAUUUGGAACCAAACCAUGCAGUGGUUAAUAGCUGAGUACUUCCAUUUGAUGGUAAGCUAUCAUUCAGAAAUUGCGUCCUCUUUGUUGAAUUGUCUGUACUUAGGACAAAACAGUUACUAAUG